UCACGCCAGCUGGCCACCACCCUUCCUUCUCUCUCCUCCCCCCAACUCCUCGCGACGCUCUGCUGCUGCUGCUGCUGCUGCUGCUUCGCCUCCGCCUCCUCCUCCACUCUCUCUCUAGGGCUUUUGGGGGGAUCGAUCUGCCGCGCUCCCGUCCGCGAGAUCCUCCCCCCGCGCCGAUCCGAAUCUCGGGGAGCGCUGCGCUUCAAUGCGCCGCCGUUGAGCUAUGUUCGGGGGCGAUCGGCGG
rnacentral:lncRNA from 1 species